GCCGGAAAACUUUACCAUGUGGGGCAACCGUGCAUAAGGAAACCCCGAGUGCCAGCACAGGCUGGCUGUCCGCCAGUUUAAAUAACUGGUGAAGAAAGGGCCGGGCAAGACCGGUGCCAGCCGCCGCGGUAAUACCGGCGGCUCGAGUGGUGGCCGCUAUUACUGGGCUUAAAGGGUCCGUAGCUUGAUAACUGGGUCCCUUGAGAAAUCCGCCAGCUUAACUGGCGGGCGUUCAGGGGAAACUUGUUUUCUAGGGACCGGGAGAGGUGAGGGGUACUGCCGGGGUAGGAGUGAAAUCCUGUAAUCCCGGUGGGACCACCUAUGGCGAAGGCAUCUCACCAGAACGGGUCCGACAGUGAGGGACGAAAGCUGGGGGAGCAAACCGGAUUAGAUACCCGGGUAGUCCCAGCUGUAAACUAUGUGCGUUAGGUGUGUCAGUGACCACGUGUCACUGAGGUGCCGAAGGGAAACCGUGAAACGCACCGCCUGGGGAGUACGGUCGCAAGGCUGAAACUUAAAGGAAUUGGCGGGGGAGCACCACAACGGGUGGAGCCUGCGGUUUAAUCGGACUCAACGCCGGGAAUCUCACCGGAUAAGACAGCUGAAUGAUAGUCGGGAUGAAGACUCUACUUGACUAGCUGAGAGGAGGUGCAUGGCCGUCGUCAGUUCGUACUGUGAAGCAUCCUGUUUAGUCAGGCAACGAGCGAGACCCACGCGAGCAGUUGCCAGCUUGACCUUUGGGUUGAUGGGGACACUGCUCGGACCGCCUCUGCUAAAGGGGAGGAAGGACUGGGCAACGGUAGGUCAGCAUGCCCCGAAUUAUCCGGGCUACACGCGGGCUACAAUGGACAGGACAAUGGGUUUCGACACCGAGAGGUGAGGAUAAUCUCCUAAACCUGUCCCAAGUUCGGAUUGCGGGUUGUAACUCACCCGCAUGAAGCUGGAAUCCGUAGUAAUCGCGUUUCAACAUACCGCGGUGAAUAUGUCCCUGCUCCUUGUACACACCGCCCGUCA
rnacentral:rRNA from 1 species